rnacentral:rRNA from 1 species
UACGUAGGGUGCGAGCGUUGUCCGGAAUUACUGGGCGUAAAGAGCUCGUAGGUGGUGUGUCGCGUCGGCCGUGAAAACCUGCAGCUUAACUGUGGGCUUGCGGUCGAUACGGGCAUCACUGGAGUUCGGCAGGGGAGACUGGAAUUCCUGGUGUAGCGGUGAAAUGCGCAGAUAUCAGGAGGAACACCAAUUGCGAAGGCAGCUCGCUGGGACGUAACUGACGCUGAGACGCGAAAGCGUGGGGAGCAAACAGG